GACGAACGCUGGCGGCGUGCUUAACACAUGCAAGUCGAACGGAAAGGCCCUGGUUGGGUGGGGUGCGCGAGGUGCGAACGGGGGAGUAACCCGUGAGUAACCUGCCCAUGACUUUGGGAUAACUUCAGGAAACUGGGGCUAAUAGCGGAUAGGAGCUCCUGCGGCAUGGUGGGGGUUGGCGAGGUGCGGCGGGUGGGGAUGGGCUCGCGGCUUAUCAGCUUGGUGGUGGGGUAGUGGGGUACCAAGGCUUGGCCGGGGAGGCGGGCUGAGAGGGUGGCCGGCCACAUCGGGACUGAGCUGCGGCACAGACUCCUAUGGGAGGCGGCAGAGGAGUAUGUUGUACAAGGGGCGGAAGCCUAACGCAGCACCGCCACGUGGGGGAUGACGGGCAUCGCUUUGGAUUGCGCUUCCGCUUGGGACGAGACGUGAGUGACGGUAAUGGGUGAAGAAGCACCGGCUAACUACGUG
rnacentral:rRNA from 1 species